CCUACGGGUGGCAGCAGUGAGGAAUAUUGGUCAAUGGGCGCGAGCCUGAACCAGCCAAGCCGCGUGAAGGAUGACUGCCCUACGGGUUGUAAACUUCUUUUAUAAGGGAAUAAAGUGAGGCACGUGUGCCUGUUUGUAUGUACUUUAUGAAUAAGGAUCGGCUAACUCCGUGCCAGCAGCCGCGGUAAUACGGAGGAUCCGAGCGUUAUCCGGAUUUAUUGGGUUUAAAGGGAGCGUAGAUGGGUUGGUAAGUCAGUUGUGAAAGUUUGGGGCUCAACCCUAAAAUUGCAAUUGAUACUGGCAGGCUGGAGUGCAGGUGAGGUAGGCGGAAUGCGUGGUGUAGCGGUGAAAUGCUUAGAUAGCACGAAGAACACCGAUUGCGAAGGCAGCCUACUAAACUGUAACUGACGUUGAGGCUCGAAAGUGUGGGUAGCAAACAGGAUUAGAUACCCGAGUAGUC
rnacentral:rRNA from 1 species